rnacentral:lncRNA from 1 species
CUGAACUUAAAACUUUUUGAUAUUUUUCCUCAUCGUCAGUGUCACUUUUUGCUACCUUAUAAUAGCACUUUGUAAUUGUCACUUCCUAGUCUCACUUUGCUGCAUUUCUUUCUUUGGUGAACCAGGCAAUCCCAAACCUCUUGGAAAUGUGUGCAUUUUCAUAGAGAUAGGUCUGGAAGAGUGGCUACCUUUUUUUGUGCACGGUGGGGUUUAGGAUGGAUUUUUAUUUUUACGUUUUCUGUAAAUUUGAGUUUUUAAAAAAACAAAACCUUGAUAGCUCUAUAAUUAGAAACAAGGCUGUGUUAUUUGGACACACAGCGUGCAUAGUGAUAAAUAGAUACUGAGUGAGGAUUUUCUGGUUCCGGGACCCCUGAUGCAUUUUCUUUCUCUUCCUUGGAGAGGUUUUGCAGUGAAAUUCUACCUGUGAAACUAAGCCUAAGUGCCCCUUUCCAGCGACAUCAUGGUCUGAGGAGCUGCCUCUGACUGCCUCUGUCAGCUCAGACUGCAGGCAUCGUUUUCGGAUUCUCACAUGGCAUUUCCCACUUCUUGGUGUUUUCCUGUGUGCCAUAUCUUUCCUCCACUAGGCAUGGUCCUUGCUUAUCUUAUGUCUUCUUAGUGUCUAGGGCAGAGCGGUGUUCUCAGUAGGUGUCCAGAAGUAAAUAUUUGUCGAAUGACAUCCCUAGUGGCUUAUCAUUUGCCAUUGUUGCUUAUCUGGAUGCAUGUCAGAUUUGUCUUAAUAGUGGAGGCUGUCUGCAGCGUGACUCCUGGAGUGUCAGAAAUGACUUGAUGUAAUUCCUGUGACUCUGUCUAACAGGUGAAAUGUUAGGAAGCAUCACAGCAGAUAGACCUGACUCAGCGUUUCUGGGUGUAAUGGGGUAGUCUUUUGCUUUUUAGAGCAAAGGAGUGACCAAGGUCAUAUAAUGAAAACUAGUGAAUCAAAAAGACUGCAACCUAAUCUUAUCUGUUGGUAGGCAGAAAUUACAUUUUUUAUUUGAAUGCACAUCCCCAGAGCCAAAGCCUUUAGGAAGAACACCGUAAUGUAAUUCCUUAGUGAGGGAGGUCAUAUAAGGACCACCCCCACCCCCAGUGGAUAUCCAGGUCCUGAUCCUGGAACCUGUGACUGUAUUACCUCACGUGGCAAAAAGCACUUUGCAGAUGUGAUUAGGUUAAGGAUGCCGAGGGACAGCGAUUGUCUUGGAUUUUCCCAGUGAGCCCAACGCAGAGUAGAUGCGGUGAAAGAACAGAGGCAGAGGCUGGAGUGAUGCAGGGCUGAAAGCAGCCUCUGGAAGCUGGAAAAGGCAAAGAAUGAGCCUCCCGAAGGAACCAGCUCUGCUAACUCCUUCCCUUUGGGCCUGUAAGACCCAUGUCUGACUUCUGACCUCUAGAACUGUGAGUGGAUACAUUUCCGUUAUUUUAAGACACUACGUUUGUGGUCAUUUGUUGUAGCAGCAGUAGGAAACUAAUACAGUCUGCAUCAGAAACUUUCUUAAUUUCUUCAAUACUUUCUUAAUUCCUAUGGAGCAGUGAGUGCCUGGGACACAUGGGUGUAAUGAAAAGAAGGGCCAUGCUGGGAAACUGAUUUCUACAUCAUCUCAAAUGCUCAGAACAAGACCCCUCACAUUCCCUAUUCCCCCCAACCCCAGUCUGCACUAACACGCGCGCACGCGCGAGCGCACACAUACACACACACACACACACACACACACACACACACACACACACACUGCACUUUAAAGGGAAUAGCUGAGAGAAAGAAUGCACACGUGUUUCAGUUGGUUUUAAGCGACUGAGUGCCUCCACGCUGCCAGAUUCUGAGAGAGGCUCAGGUGAAGGAAGAUACAGCCAUUGCCUUUCCCGAGUUGAGACCCAAACCUUUCAUUUACGUUGUCAGCAUUAGACCUUUUCUGUCAGAAAUAACCAACCCUUCCCUUUUUAGAAAUUUCUGCUCUCCAUGCAACCAUGUAAAAGACGCUUGGCAUGUUAAAGACUUUUAUUGACACCAUUUAAAGCAUCUUAGGAAAUGCCCGAGACCCCUUCGGAAAGUGAUUGUUGUCUGCUAACCAGGUGAGCACCUUGCGUGCAGGUGAGGGGUGGGGCGGAGAAGGGCUGAGAGGCCAGGUGGAAAGGCGAGGCUCCCUUUGUAAUGAGGGCUUCGAUGGGGGGGGAUCUCUGCACGGAGUGCAGCUGUUCUCUCUAACACCCUUCGUGAUCACCGGUCCUUGUGAGGCAGCGGUGAAGACAGCGCGCAUCUUCUCUGCGUGUGGGGCAGUCAAGGGACUUCCUUCCCCGGGAGGUGCCAGUCGUAUGGUCAGAGCGGAAAGGUGAUGAGUCACUCUGAUCAAAACGAAGGCUGGGAGUGGCCGGUGGAUGCACUGUGACCCUGGGGGGCAGUCGAAGAAGUCCGGGAUUUGUGAAGGGGGUCAGAGGUCACGAAUGCCUUUCCUAAGUUGCUUGAACCUGGGGACCAGUGGGCAUUUUGUUCUUGGAGGAUUGACUUGCUUUGGAGGUUUUGUUUUUUUUUUUUUUGUCUUUUUAGGGCCACACCCUCGGCAUAUGGAGGUUCCCAGGCUAGGAGUCCAAUGGGAGCUGUAGCCGCCGGCCUACACCAGAGCCACAGCAGCGAGGGAUCUGAGCCAUGUCUGUGACCUACACUGCAGCUCACGGCAAGGCUGGAUCCUUAACCCACUGAGCGAGGCCAGGGAUCGAACCCGAAACCUCAUGGUUCCUAGUUGGAUUUGUUAACCACUGAGCCACGAUGGGAACUCCUGCUUUGGAAUUAAAGAGGGACUUGGACACUGUGUGGCCUUUGCGGAUCUUAUUUUCCACGGACAGAGCCUUGUGUCAUUGGGGGUAACUUUGACUUUUAUUUCCACUAAAUGUGAAGAAAAGACCAUAAGACAUAAUUGGAGUAACUUCUGAAAAAAAAGAAGUAUAUGCCUCGUGGAGUCUUCUCCUAAUACGGAUUUGAUGAACAUGCUUGUAUGACCCCUGCUUCCUCAGGAGGGCAAACCAGGUUCUCUUCCUGAGGCUGCAGCUUGGAGGGUUUUUAAGGUAACCCAUGCCCCGCCCUCCUCCCCUCUUUUCUUCUUCCCUUCUUAUGCGAUUAGAAGGCAAAGUUGAGUUCCCGGUGGGUACUGUUAACAUGCAGUGGCGUUUGUCACUUGGUUGUCAAAAGGGUUAAUAAUGUGACCUUCACAUGGAUUGAUUUUUAUACAGUGCACUGGAUUUUUAAAGAGAGACGCGUCUUCCAUGUAACUGACAAUUAGCUUCCUACGUGACACUCGAGCGAUUUAAAUUCUUCUGGAAAGGGCACGAUACACUGUGCAUCCCUCUUUCAUGCAAAGUGGACAGAAUACAGUGUCAGUCUCUUUCUGGAACGUGCUCGCCCACUGCUUGCUCAUCCUGUGAAGAGAAAAUGCACAGCACUUCAUUGUGUGAUGCGAGCCGUGUAACCCUCUUGAAUGAACCGGGUAGAGGAGACCUCUUCCCUGUGCUUCCUUCGGAUCCACAGAGCCUCACCGACUUCAGAUGAGUGGUUUGUGACCUUUCACUCGGCACCAUAAUUUUUUUUUUUUUUUUUUUGUCUUUUUGCCAUUUCUUGGGCCGCUCCCAUGGCAUAUGGAGGUUCCUAGGCCAGGGGUCUAAUUGGAGCUGUAGCUGCCAGCCUAUGCCAGAGCCACAGCAAUGCGGGAUACGAGCCUUGUCUGCAACCUACACCACAGCUCACGGCAACGCCGGAUCGUUAACCCACUGAGCAAGGGAAGGGACCGAACCCGCAACCUCAUGGUUCCUAGUCGGAUUCGUUAACCACUGCGCCACGACGGGAACUCCAGUUGGCACCAUAAUUUAAGAUGGGCCGAUAAUCUCCACCUCGAGAGAGCACUGAGCACUGCCCUGUCCGCCGAGGUCCGUAGCCUUACUCCUCACUCGGGCAUGAGCAUAAGGCAUGAAGGCCGUGUGCCUUUCCCUAUUUCGAUGUUGUUCUGGGCUGGAGGUCCAGGGCGGUUGCCUUAAACAAAACAUCUGCACACCUCAUCCUUAGAGGGGGGUGGUUUUGCUGACGAGACACUAUGUUUCCCCCCAUGUUUUCAUACCACUUGUGCUCCCUUACUAAUCACUAGUCAUUUUUAAGAUUAAAACCUGCAUUUGGACAAUAACUGAGACAUGGAAGCAACGUUCCAUGACAUGAGAGAUGAAUGGAUGAAGGAGAUGGGACAUAGAGGUACAAUGGAUUCUUACUCAACCAUAAAAAGAAUGAAAUAAUGCCAUUUGCUGCAACAUGGAUGGACCCAGAGAUUCUCAUACUAAGUGAAAUCAGCCAGACAAAGACGAAUAUCACAUGAUAUCACUUAUAUGUGGAAUCUAAAAAAAAUGAUACAAAGCAACUUAUUUACAAAACAGAAAUCGAUUCACAGACAUAGAAAACAAACUCCAGAAGAAUUUAAAUUGCUCGAGUGUCACUUAGGGUUACCAAAGGGGAUAUUGAGGGGCAGGGAUUUACAGAUUAACAAAUAGGUACUAUAUUUGUUAGUACUUAGUUGUUAUAUUUGUUAUACUGUAUAUAAACCGGCUAAACAACAAGGACCUACUUUGUAGCCCAGAGAACUAUACUCAGUAUCUUGCAUUAACCUAUAAUGAAAAAGAAUCUGAAAAAGAGUAAAUACACAUGUGCCUGUAACUCAAUCCCUUUGCUGUAAUUCCCACCUCUAACACACCCUACCUUGUAAAUUAACUAUACUUCAGUUAAAACAAACAAACGAACCCCCAACCCUGCGUUUUGAGGAAGCCAACGACAAGAGUACAAGGCGAAAAUCAUAUGUAUUUGUGGUUUUUUUUUUUUGAGAAAAGAAAUAACAUCAUUUUUAUUCAGAGAUUAUGUGACCGUACACUGAAAAAAAUUAGAUACUAUAUAAAUCAGCUGGCAAUUUGUGUUGAGUAUGAUUCCUGCACUCCAGAUCCCCAUAUGAAAAAAACCUAUCGCUCUUUAUUUUUUCAGUUAAAGUUUAGUUGGUUUGCCAUGUUGUGUCCAUUUCUGCUGUACAGCGACCCAGUCAUGGUCUGUCCCAAGAGGCUGGAUGUAGUUCCCUGUGCUGAGCAGUAGGACGUCUUUGCCUGUCCAUUCUAAAUGGAAUAGUUUGCUUCUCCUAAUCGCAUAUAAACACUCAGCUGCUGAUCUUUUUCUUUUCUCUUUAUUCAACGGUGAAGCAUUAUUUAAGGAAGGUCUCAUAGAGAGUUUUAGAAUUUCAGAAUGAAAAGAGGUCUUAGAUGAACUCACCAAAUAGCCAAUUAAUUCAUUCAACCAGAAAGACCUACUGGGAACACCUACUGGGUGGCGGCUUCUGGGCUGGGAACUGUGCUUAGACGGUGAACAAAGCAGCGGUGGUCCCCGUUCCACGGGCUCAUACUCUACGGGGUGAUGGAUAGUAUUCAAGUAAGUGAAAAAAAAAAA